UGUCCGCCUCGUUGCCACCGUAUGUUUUCAUACUGUCCGAUUCGUUGGUCAUAUUCAUGAUCGAUAUCUUAAGCAAAAGUAAGAUUGAAACAUGCAAUUUAUCCACAUUUAAACUUUAUUCAACACAGAUACUGUCUAUGAUUAUAUAUGGAAAAUAUUUAUAGAUUAUAUAUUCAGCUUGGAUCUCGUGUCAAUUAAAGGGGGACAUUGGUCACUCUUCCAGAACCUUUACUCAUGUCUGCUGCUCGUAUUCAUCGUUUGCGGACCUUGUUGUUAGAUUCUAACUAGGGUUCCCAACCCCGGACCCCCGACCGCCUGGAUCCGCAACUGCCUAAGCGAUUACAAAUACAUGUAUUAAGUAACGUGAAUGUAUUCAUAUUAAUUUAUUUAAUCGAUGA
rnacentral:lncRNA from 1 species